rnacentral:tRNA from 1 species
GCCUAGUUAGCUUAAUAGCUGGUAGUGCGUCUGCCUUGUAAGCGCUAGGCCGCGGGUUCGAUUCCCGCCCGGGGCG